rnacentral:rRNA from 1 species
GACGAACGCUGGCGGCGUGCUUAACACAUGCAAGUCGAACGGUGAAGGGGAGCUUGCUCCCCGGAUCAGUGGCGAACGGGUGAGUAACACGUGGGCAACCUGCCCCAGACUUCGGGAUAACGCUUCGAAAGAGGUGCUAAUACCGGAUACGAACCCCCUGGGCAUCCUGGGGGUUGGAAAGGUCUUCGGUCUGGGGUGGGCCCGCGGCCUAUCAGCUAGUUGGUGAGGUAACGGCUCACCAAGGCGACGACGGGUAGCCGGCCUGAGAGGGCGACCGGCCACACUGGGACUGAGACACGGCCCAGACUCCUACGGGAGGCAGCAGUGGGGAAUAUUGCGCAAUGGGCGAAAGCCUGACGCAGCAACGCCGCGUGAGGGAUGACGGCCUUCGGGUUGUAAACCUCUUUCAGCAGGGAAGAAGCGAAAGUGACGGUACCUGCAGAAGAAGCACCGGCUAACUACGUGCCAGCCGCCGCAGUAAGAC